ensembl:lncRNA
AUGAACUGGGACGAACUGGGAACCAUCAAAAACCCAGCAGCACCAAACUGGGAUGAACUGGGAAGUCACUCAGAUGAACUGGGACGAACUGGUACAAACUGGAAACCAUCAAAAACCCAGCAGCACCAAACUGGGACGAACUGGUCCAGCCUUCAAACUGAACUGGGACUGAACUGGGCCAAACUGGGAGGCACUGGGAGGCUCAGAUGCGGCCGCUGUGCCUCAGUUUCUCCAGCAGGGCCUCCACGUUCUCCACCUUGUCCCCCCCGGCCCUGGGGGGCGGCUCCUGCACCUGCAGCACCUUCAGCCCCGGGAACGGCCCCGGGACCCCCAAAUCCGCCGCCGGGAUCACCUCCAGGGGCUUCUUCUUGGCUUUCUGCGGGAAAAUUCCGGAGAUUUGGGGGAAAAUUUGGGGAUUUUUGGGGAAAAUUUGGGGAUUUUUGGGGAAAAUUUGGGAUUUUUGGGGAAAAUUUGGGGAUUUUUGGGGAAAAUUUGGGGAUUUUUGGGGAAAAUUUGGGGAUUUNUUUUUUGGGGGGAUUUUUAGGGAAAUUUGGGGGACUUUGCAGAAAAUUCAGGGAAAUUAGGGAUUUGGGGGGAAUUUGGGGGAAAUUUGGGGAUUUUGGGGGGAUUUUUUGCCCACCAAUGACCCCAAUUCUUUGGGACAACAGGUCUACCCCCAAUGUAACUCUAUGGGGGGAAUUUUUGGGGUAAAACUUUGGCAUUUUGGAGAAUUUCCUGGGAAUUUUGAGGAUCCUGGAAAUGUGGAGAGUCCAAGGGAUUUAGAGGAUCCCAAAAAUUUUGGGAAGAAUCCCAGAAAUUUGGGGGGGGAUCCCAUCUCCCCCCACCCACCAAUGACCCCAGUUAUUUGGGACAACAGGUCUACCCCCAAUGUAACUCUAUGGGGGGAUUUUUGGGGUGAAACUCUGGGAUUUUGGGGAAUCUCCUGAAAAUUUUGAGGGUCCUGGAGAUGUGAGGAGCCUGACAGAUUUGGAGGAUCCCAAAAAUUUUGGGGGAUUUCAGGAAUUUUGGGGAGGGGACACCCGAAACGACCCAAAUUCUUUGGGACAACAGGUCUACCCCCAAUGCAACUCUAUGGGGGGAAUUUUUGGGGUAAAACUUUGGGAUUUUGAGGAAUUUCCUGGGAAUUUUGAGGAUCCAGGAGAUGUGAGGAGCCUGACAGAUUCAAAUGAUCCCCAAAAUUUUGAGGAGAAUCCCAGAAAUUUGGGGGAUCCCAUUUCUCCCCACCCAGCAUGACCCCAAUUCUUUGGGACAACAGGUCUACCCCCAAUGUAACUCUAUGGGGGGAAUUUUUGGGGUAAAACUUUGGGAUUUGGGGGAAAUUCCCAGGAAUUUUGAGGAUCCUGAAAAUGUGGAGAGUCUGACAGAUUCAGAGGAUCCCAAAAAUUUUGGGGGAUUUCAGGAAUUUUGGGGAGGGGACACCCAAAACGACCCCAAUUAUUCGGGACAACAAGUCUACCCCCAAUGUAACUCUAUGGGGGGAAUUUUUGGGGCGAAACUCCGGGAUUUCGGGGAAUCUCCCGGGGAUUUCGGGGACCCCUCCCCAGGCACNCCACCAUGAUGUUGGGCAGCGUGGCGUAGCGGGGCUCGUUGAGGCGCAGGUCAGCGGUCAGCACGGCCGGCAGGCGGAGCCGCAGCGUCUCCAGGCCGCCGUCCACCUCCCGCUGGACACGCACGGCCCCGGCCUCCAGCUCCACCCGCGAGGCGAAGGUGCCCUGGGGGAAGGGACUGGUGUGGACUGGGAGCCUCCCAGUAUGGACUGGGAAGGGUUGUCGCCCUCCGGGGGGCGUCCCAGUAUGAACUGGGGGCGUCCCAGUAUGAACUGGGGGUGUUCCAGUAUGACCUAGACCCUCCCAGUAUGAUCUAGACCUUCCCAAAAUGACCUAAACCCUCCCAGUACAAACUGGGACUCUCCCAGUAUGAUCCAGAUCCUCCCAGUAUGGACUGGGACCCUCCCAGUAUGACCUAGACCCUCCCAGUAUGAUCUAGAUCUUCUCAAAAU